rnacentral:rRNA from 1 species
UGUUUGAUCCUGGCUCAGAACGAACGCUGGCGGCGUGGCUAAGACAUGCAAGUCGUACGGACCGCAGUAGCAAUAUUGCGGUUAGUGGCGAAAGGGUGAGUAAUGCAUGGGUAACGUACCCUGAACUCGGGGAUAACAGCGCCCGCAAGGGCUUUAGCGAAAGUGCUGCUAAUACCCGAUGAAGUCGCCGGGUCGCAUGAUUCGGUGACCAAAGGCGGGGACCGCAAGGCCUGCCGGUUUGGGAGCGGCCCAUGUCCUAUCAGCUAGUUGGUGAGGUAACGGCCCACCAAGGCGACGACGGGUAGCGGGACUGAGAGGUCGGCCCGCCACAUCGGGACUGAGACACUGCCCGGACACCUACGGGUGGCUGCAGUAACGAAUAUUGGGCAAUGGGCGCAAGCCUGACCCAGCGACGCCGCGUGCAGGAGGAAGCCCCUCGGGGUGUAAACUGCUGUCAGGGUUCAGCAAGCAAAGGGCGUGAACAGCGCCCCGGCGUUUGAGCAGACCCAGAGAAGCCUCUACU